rnacentral:lncRNA from 10 species
ACCUCUAGGAGUUUAGGGCCGGGCCAUCCCAACGGGCUGCCCCUCCCAAAACUCACUGUUUGGACAGGUGUUGGGCGUCGCUAGGCGCCGACGAAGAACUUCUUUCCAGUCCAUGGCCGACUUCCGCGCAGCAGCUUCUGCAUUUGCUGUUUCCUACCUGCUCCACCCCUACCAGCUCAGGCGUCAGCACCGCCAGGCCCCGUAAAGGGUCUUGCUCUGUUGCCCAGACUGGAGUGCAGUGGUGUGUUCAUAGCUCACUGUAACCUCAAACUCCUGGCCUCAAGUGAUCCUCUCGCUUCAGUCUCCUCAGUAGCUAAAACCACAGUGGCCAGUGUUCGGGCUGUGGAAAAACCAUAGAGUCUAUUCAGCUGAGUCCAGAAGAAUAUGAAUGUCUUAAGGGAAAAAUCAUGAGGGAUGUGAUAGAUGGAGGUGACCAGUACAGAAAGACAACACCUCAG